rnacentral:lncRNA from 1 species
NNNNNNNNNNNNNNNNNNNNNNNNNNNNNNNNNNNNNNNNGGGAGCCGACUCCAGAAAGGGCAAAUUUGGCUGCACCAGGGGAAACAGGGAGACAUGCAGGGGACCCCGGCAUGGUGGCCGGCACCGCUGGCAGCCGGAGGCACGGGCACGUCACGGGCCAAGCUGAGCUGCCCGGAUCGGCUACCCAACCUCAGUCCUCCACCCCUGGACACCAGCAUCACCGGCACAACCGGCUCUGUCCACCGGCACGCAUGGGUCAGACGCCGCAGGGACCUCGCAUGCACCAUCCCCAUCCCCAUCCUGUCCCCAUGCUCUCCGGGACGGCCUCCGCGCUCGGCUCUGCCCCGCACAGCUCCCGGGGCCGGGCAGCACGUGGUGCCCGUUGGUGCGUCCGGCCAGCCCGGCAGGAGCAGGAAGCGGCCCCGGAGCCGGCGACUCCGGCUGCGUCACGGGGGGGAAGUGAGGCUCCGUCUGGAGGGGAAGAGCAGCCCGCGGGGCCCCCCAGGAUUGCGCCAGCGCAGGGAUGGCCUGGACGGACAGACAGACGGACGGCAGGGCCGUGCCCUCCCCCUCGGUGUGGCUCCCGCGCUGCCUGACCCCCAGCACAGGGGCCUCCRAGCCCCCCACAUCCCAGCUGCAGCCCCACGGCCCGGCCCGGCUCCCUGUGCCCCRCGACGCCGGGGAGCACCGAGGCUCCACGACGGGGCCCCGGGUCGGCUCCGGCUGCCCCAUGCCGAGGGCCCCCCCCGGCCGGGGGACAUGGGGGACACAAGGGGGGAAYGGCCCGGAGCAUCCCGGACCUGCUGCGCUGCAGGGCUGGGGGGCAGCCAGGGUGCACCAGGGACAGCUGGGAUGCACUGGGGACAGUGGGGACAGAGCGGGGACAGCCGUGGGAUGCACUGGGGAAGCAGCAUAGGGGAAGCAGGGACACGCCAGGGAUAUGCCAGGGACACACCAGGGACAGCCAGGAUGCAGCGAGGACAGCAGGGAUGCACCAGGGACAGUCGGGAUGCACCAGGGACAGCGGGGACGUCAUGGCCGGGUCAGCCAGGAUGGACUGGGGACAGUAAGGGACAGAUGAGGGACAGUGAGGGACACGGAGCAGGGAAAGCCGGGGAGACGGCUGCGACGUGCCCGGGGACGCCCCGGGGACGGUCGGGACGCGCCGGAGGCAACUGGGACACUCUGGGGGCAGCAGAAGGGGACAACCGGGGUGCAGCAAGGGAGAGCGGGGACACUUUGGGGACAGCCAGAAACGCAGGAGGGACACGGGGAC